rnacentral:rRNA from 1 species
AUGGGUGCUGUUAUCAGGGAUGACAAAGGAAAUUUCAUUGUAGGUGGAAACUGCAAGAUUGAAUGUUGUGUGGAUGCUCUGACAGUGAAAGCGCUAGCACUUAGGUUUGGCCUAUUACUGGCACAAAAUGCGGGUUGCAAUCGCCUCAUUAUUUAUUCUGACAACAUGGAAGUAAUUAAUACAAUGAAGAACGGAGGUCAUUGUACAGGAGCGGCAGUUGCAAUUUUUUAGGAUUGCUUUUUUAUGGCUUGUGAAUUUCCUCUUACUAGUUUUCAACAUUGUAAUAGAGAAGCGAACAAAGUAGACCAUGAGCUUGCUAUAUUAGCAAGAUGUUCCAUGACUAGGGAUUGGAUUGAGGAGCCCAUGGAAAAAAUUGUAUCUCUCCUUAUAGACGAUGUAACCAUUAUCUCUAGCCAAAUAUGA